GGGGAUGUAGCUCAGCUGGGAGAGCGCCUGCAUGGCAUGCAGGAGGUCGACGGUUCGAUCCCGUUCAUCUCCACCA
rnacentral:tRNA from 2 species